GACGAACGCUGGCGGCGUGCCUAAUACAUGCAAGUUGAGCGCUGAAGGUUGGUACUUGUACCAACUGGAUGAGCAGCGAACGGGUGAGUAACGCGUGGGGAAUCUGCCUUUGAGCGGGGGACAAAAUUUGGAAACGAAUGCUAAUACCGCAUAAAAACUUUAAACACAAGUUUUAAGUUUGAAAGAUGCAAUUGCAUCACUCAAAGAUGAUCCCGCGUUGUAUUAGCUAGUUGGUGAGGUAAAGGCUCACCAAGGCGAUGAUACAUAGCCGACCUGAGAGGGUGAUCGGCCACAUUGGGACUGAGACACGGCCCAAACUCCUACGGGAGGCAGCAGUAGGGAAUCUUCGGCAAUGGACGAAAGUCUGACCGAGCAACGCCGCGUGAGUGAAGAAGGGUUUCGGAUCGUAAAACUCUGUUGGUAGAGAAGAACGUUGGUGAGAGUGGAAAGCUCAUCAAGUGACGGUAACUACCCAGAAAGGGACGGCUAACUACGUG
rnacentral:rRNA from 1 species